GUACUGGUUUUAUUGUUGUUUUCAGUGUUUCGGUCUUUAACUUCAAACCCCUAAAAGCUACAUUGCAGAUAAGGAAAUUAAAGGGGCUUCGCGAUGUGCUUCUCUGAACGACAGACUCCACCCUCUCUGACCUCUGCCACAUCACAGCUCUGCCUGUGCUCGCAUCACAUUUUGGGAUGAUAAUCAACCAUGAUGUCUCCUUGUUCCUGAUCUGAAGAAAUAGAGAAAUAGACCCAAGAAUCAGGUAGAAAUUUAAAAUAUAUGCUUUCUUAGUGAGGCUUAUUGG
rnacentral:lncRNA from 1 species